CACCAAACCCCUGCUGAUGCUUGGGGGACUCCAUGUGGGGACAGACCUACAGCUGGUGCUUCCUGAACGUUUUCAUUAAGUCUGAUGGUCUGACCCAUGAUGAUCUACCUCCAGAGCUCACCUAGCUGCAAAGGGAGCUCCCACCAGAUGUUUUACUUGGAGCCCAGUCUCAGACCCUAACCUCUGGUGUCCUGUUCCUCUUCUUCAACAAGGCUCUUGAGGAAACUCCCAGGACGGUAGUGGGUUUAUCAAAAUAUGAGCUGAAUGAUCAAUAAAGCAAGUCAUGUCACCUAGGCAAAACCUUCCAACAUUCGCCUUUAUUAGACAUUGUUUACUUUUGAUCUCUAAAGUUAAACUAUUCAGGCUGAA